UUUCUCCCUGUGCCACCGAUGAUUCUCAACUGUAUAUUAUGCGUUUCCCCUGCCGCCAUAUACUGGAGUACUAUUUAGCUGUUUGCAUGUUAUGAAUCAGAACAUAUAUACAUCAACUUUGUCUCGCGAGUAUAUAAUUACCGGUAUACGUAAUUGUCACAAAUUACAAAAUAAAUAAUGUACAGUAUGUAUCUGAGCAAUUAUAUUUAUCGUUAGUUCCGCUCUUGUGUAUUAUACAGCCUGUAAUGGAGAUUGUUAUGAAGUUUUCCGCUCGGUAUCAGCAACUUCAAGUGAGUCGUGACUUCGAGGAUUACAAGACCAUCCGCCAGGAUGCUCGGCCAAAUAAGCGCUCAGGAUCAUCUGAAAAUAAACGACCUUCUGGAUGUUCUUACCAAGGAACCGAAAACGGAUGCUCAACUCAAGAGGAUCCCGGCCAGCAUUCCGCCAGUUCAGACCACGGGACAUCCAUGCCGCUUUAUGCUGCGUUAAAUGCCACUGCGGACUGGCUAUCAAGUUUUGUUUCGGUUGUGCAACAAUUCCGGCAAGCGCUUGGAAUCUGAAACAGACAAACAGUAACACCACGGCCACUUCCUGAAAGAGACCAAAUGUACAUUGUUGACAUUAACUGCUGAACCACUGUCGCAGAUAAGCAACUGCAGCUGAGCUGCAGCACAUUUGGCGAGCGGCAAAAGGUCACACGCGGUAUCUUUGCCUGUUUGGAUUAUGUAAAAAAUCAGAUCUAGAGAGUUGAAGUAUCGAUAAAAAUUUUGGGUAUCGA